UUCUUUUUGGUGGAUUUGAGUCAUAGGAAAGCCGUACUAUUAAGAGGGGUUCCGCUUCGGAAAGGUUAGGAUGGAAUCAACACAUACACAUCUGUUGCUUUGCACCACCUUUCUUUGCUUCAUUGGAGCACCGGUUGUUUCCCUUGUCGUUGCGAAGAUGAAGGCUUCCUAGUGCUACUGUUCCGUGGCGUGCGGUAGUGCUGCUCAAGGGAGCAGUAGUACCGCAGCCGCCCAUGGUAGUACCGCCCAUGGCAGCGGUAGUACCGCCAGUGCAUGACGGAAAUAUGCCCUAGAGGCAAUAAUAAAGUGGUUAUUUAUAUUUCCUUAUAUCAUGAUAAAUGUUUAUUAUUCAUGCUAGAAUUGUAUUAACCGGAAACUUAGUACAUGUGUGAAUACAUAGACAAACAGAGUGUCCCUAGUAUGCCUCUACUAGACUAGCUCGUUAAUCAAAGAUGGUGAAGUUUCCUGACCAUAGACAUGUGUUUUCAUUUGAUGAACAGGAUCACAUCAUUAGAGAAUGAUGUUAUGGACAAGACCCAUCCGUUACCUUAGCAUUAAUGAUCGUUUAGUUUUAUUCCUAUUGCUUUCUUCAUGACUUAUACAUGUUCCUCUGACUAUGAGAUUAUGCAACUCCCGAAUAUCGGAGGAACACCUUGUGUGCUAUCAAACGUCACAACGUAACUGGGUGAUUAUAAAGAUGCUCUACAGGUGUCUCCGAUGGUGCUUGUUGAGUUGGCAUAGAUCGAGAUUAGGAUUUUUCACUCUGUGUAUCAGAGAGGUAUCUCUGGGCCCUCUCGGUAAUGCACAUCACUAUACGCCUUGCAAGCAAUGUGACUAAUGAGUUAGUUGUGGGAUGAUGCAUUACGGAACGAGUAAAGAGACUUGCCGGUAACGAGAUUGAACUAGGUAUGAUGAUACCGACGAUCGAAUCUCGGGCAAGUAACAUACCGAUGACAAAGGGAACAACACAUGUUGUUAUGCGGUUUGACCGAUAAAGAUCUUCGUAGAAUAUGUAGGAGCCAAUAUGAGCAUCCAGGUUCCGCUAUUGGUUAUUGACCGAAGAUGUGUCUCGGUCAUGUCUACAUAGUUCUCGAACCCGUAGGAUCCGCACGCUUAACGUUGGAUGAUGAUUUGUAUUAUGAGUUAUGUGAUUUGUUGAGCGAAGUUUGUUCGGAGUCCCGGAUGAGAUCACGGACAUGACGAGGAGUCUCGAAAUGGUCGAGAGGUAAAGAUCGAUAUAUUGGAAGGUUAUAUUCGGACACCGGAAUGGUUCCGAAGUGUUUCGGGUAUUUUUCGGAGUACCGGGAGGUUACCGGAACCCCCCCAGGAGAGUAAUGGGCCUUAAUGGGCCUUAAUGAGAGAAGGGCCUCAAGGGGUGGCCGCGCCCCCCCCCCCCCAAUGGCUGGUCCGAAUUGGACUAGGAGGGGGCGGCGCCCCCCCUCUUUCCUUCUCCCCUCUUCCUCCUUCCCUCCUUCUCCUAGUUGGAAUAGGAAAGGGGGGGCGAAUCCUACUUGGACCGGGAGUCCAAGUAGGACUCCCCCCCCCCUUGGCGUGCCCUCUCUAGGGCUGGCCUCCUCUUUCCCCUCCUUUAUAUACUUGGGAGGGGGGCACACCAAGUCUUCUCUUAGCCGUGUGUGGUGCCCCCCUCCACAGUUACACACCUCGGUCAUAACGUCGUAGUGCUUACGCGAAGCCCUGCGCCGGUAACUUCAUCAUCACCGUCGCCACGCCGUCGUGCUAAUGGAACUCUCCCUCGUCCUGAACUGGAUCAAGAGCUCGAGGGAUGUCAUCGUGCCGAACGUGUGCUGAACACGGAGGUGCCAUACAUUCGGUACUUGGAUCGGUUGGAUUGCGAAGACGUUUGACUACAUCAACCGCGUUACUAAACGCUUCCGCUUUCGGUCUACGAGGGUACGUGGACACACUCUCCCGUCUCGUUGCUAUGCAUCUCCUAGAUAGAUCUUGCGUGAUCGUAGGAAUUUUUUUGAAAUACUGCGUUCCCCAACAGUGGCAUCCGAGCCAGGUCUAUGCGUAGAUGUUAUAUAUAUGCACGAGUAGAACACAAAGAGUUGUGGGCGAUAAUAGUCAUACUGCUUACCAGCAACGUCUUACUUUGAUUCGACGGUAUUGUUGGAUGAAGCGGUCCGGACCGACAUUACAUGACCGCGUUCAUGAGACUGGUUCUACCGAUGUGCUUCGCAAACGGGUGGCUGGCGGGUGUCUGUUUCUCCAACUUUAGUUGAAUCGAGUUUGACUACGCCCGGCCCUUGUUGAAGGUUAAAACAGCACACUUGACGAAAAAUCGUUGUGGUUUUGAUGCGUAGGUAAGAACGGUUCUUGCUAGAAGCCCGUAGCAGCCACGUAAAACUUGCAACAACAAAGUAGAGGACGUCUAACUUUUUUUUGCAGGGCAUGUUGUAAUGUGAUAUGGUCAGGACGUGAUGAGAUAUAAAUUGUUGUAUGAGAUGAUCAUGUUUUGUAACUGUGAUCGGCAACUGGCAGGAGCCUUAUGGUUGUCGCUUUAUUGUAUGAAAUGCAAUCGCCAUGUAAUUGCUUUACUUUAUCACUAAGCGGUAGCGAUAGUCGUAGAAGCAAUAGUUGGCGAGACGACAACGAUGCUACGAUGGAGAUCAAGGUGUCAAGCCGGUGACAAUGGAGAUCAUGACGGUGCUUUGGAGAUGGAGAUCAAAGGCACAAGACAAUGAUGGCCAUAUCAUGUCACAUAUUUUGAAUGCAUGUAAUGUUUAUCUUUUAUGCAUCUUAUUUUGCUUAGUACGGCGGUAGCAUUAUAAGAUGAUCUCUCACUAAAUUUCAAGGUGUAAGUGUUCUCCCUGAGUAUGCACUGUUGCUACAGUUCGUCGUGCCGAGACACCACGUGAUGAUCAGGUGUGAUAAGCUCUACAUUCACAUACAACGGGUGGAAGCCAAUUUUGCACACGCAGAAUACUCAGGUUAAACUUGAAGAGCCUAGCAUAUGCAGAUAUGGCCUCGGAACACUGAGAGCGAAAGGUCGAAUGUGAAUCAUAUAGUAGAUAUGAUCAACAUAGUGAUAUUCACCAUUGAAAACUACUCCAUCUCAUGUGAUGAUCGGACAUGGUUUAGUUGAUAUGGAUCACGUGAUCAUUUAGAUGACUAGAGGGAUGUCUAUCUAAGUGGGAGUUCUUAAGUAAUAUGAUUAAUUGAACUUUAAUUUAUCAUGAACUUAGUACCUAAUAGUAUUUUGCAUGUCUAUGUUGGUGUACAUCAAUGGCCCGUGCUACCGUUCCCUUGAACUUUAAUGCGUUCCUAGAGAAAGGUAAGUUGAAAGAUGAUGGCAGCAAAUACACGGACUGGGUCCGUAACUUGAGGAUUAUCCUCAUUGCUGCACAGAACAAUUACGUCCUGGAAGCACCGCUAGGUGCAGGACCCGCUGCAGGAGCAACUCCGGACGUUAUGAACGUCUGGCAGAGCAAAGUUAAUGACUACUCGAUAGUUUAGUGUGCCAUGCUUUACGGCUUAGAAUCGGGACUUCAACGACAUUUUGAACGUCAUGGAGCAUAUGAGAUGUUCCAGGAGUUGAAGUUAAUAUUUCAAGCAAAUGCCCGAAUUGAGAGAUAUGAAGUCUCCAAUAAGUUCUAUAGCUGCAAGAUGGAGGAGAAUAGUUUUGUCAGUGAACAUAUACUCAGAAUGUCUGGGUACCACAACCACUUGACUCAACUGGGAGUUAAUCUUCCUGAUGAUAGUGUCAUUGACAGAGUUCUUCAAUCAUUGCCACCAAGCUACAAAAGCUUCGUGAUGAACUAUAAUAUGCAAGGGAUGGAUAAGACAAUUCCCGAGCUCUUCGCGCUGCUAAAGGCUGCGAAGGUAGAAAUCAAGAAGGAGCAUCAAGUGUUGAUGGUUUACAAGACCACUAGUUUCAAGAAAAUGGGCAAAGGGAAGAAGGAGAACUUCAAGAAGAACGGCAAGCAAGUUGCUGCUCAAGUGAAGAAGCCCAAAUCUGGACCUAAGCCUGAGACUGAGUGCUUCUACUGCAAAGGGACUGGUUACUGGAAGCAGAACUGCCCCAAGUAUUUGGCGGAUAAGAAGGAUGGCAAAGUGAAAGGUAUAUUUGAUAUAAAUGUUAUUGAUGUGUACCUUACUAAUGCUCGUAGUAGCACCAGGGUAUUUAAUACUGGUUUUGUUGCUCAUAUUUGCAACUCGAAACAGGGGCUACAGAUUAAACGAAGAUUGGCCAAGGACGAAGUGACGACGAUGCGCGUGGGAAAUGGUUCCAAAGUCGAUGUGAUCACCGUCGGCAUGCUACCUCUACAUCUACCGUCGGGAUUAGUUUUAGACCUAAAUAAUUGUUAUUUGGUGCCAGUGUUGAGCAUGAACAUUAUAUCUAGAUCUUGUUUGAUGCGAGACAUUUAUUCAUUUAAAUCAGAGAAUAAUGGUUGUUCUAUUUAUAUGAGUAAUAUCUUUUAUGGUCAUGCAUCCUUGAUGAGUGGUCUAUUUUUGUUGAAUCUCAAUUGUAGUGAUACACAUAUUCAUAAUAUUGAAGCCAAAAGAUGCAAGGUUAAUAAUGAUAGUGCAACUUAUUUGAGGCACUGCCGUUUAGGUCAUAUUGGUGUAAAGCGCAUGAAGAAACUCCAUGCUGAUGGGCUUUUUGAAUCACUUGAUUAUGAAUCACUUGAUGCUUGCGAACCGUGCCUCAUGGGAAAGAUGACGAAGACUCCGUUCUCCAGAACAAUGGAGCAAGCAACACACUUGUUGGAAAUAAUACAUACUGAUGUAUGCGGUCCGAUGAGUGUUGAGGCUCGCGGCGGGUAUCGUUAUUUUCUGACCUUCAUAGAUUAUUUGAGCAGAUAUGGGUAUAUCUACUUGAUGAAACAUAAGUCUGAAAGAUUUGAAAAGUUCAAAGAAUUUCAGAGUGAAGUGGAAAAUCAUCGUUACAAGAAAAUAAAGUUUCUACGAUCUGAUCGUGGAGGUGAAUAUUUGAGUUAUGAGUUUGGUCUUCAUUUGAAACAAUGCGGAAUAGUUUCGCAACUCAUGCCACGUGGAACACCACAGCGUAAUGGUGUGUCCAAAUGUCGUAACCGUACUUUAUUGGAUAUGGUGCGAUCUAUGAUGUCUCUUACUGAUUUACCGCUAUCGUUUUGGGGUUAUGCUUUAGAGACGGUUGCAUUCACGUUAAAUAGGGCAAAUCCGUUGAGAAGACACCAUAUGAAUUGUAGUUUGGCAAGAAACCGAAGUUGUCGUUUCUUAAAGUUUGGGGCUGCGAUGCUUAUGUGAAAAAACUUCAACCUGAUAAGCUCGAACCCAAAUCAGAGAAAUGUGUCUUCAUAUGAUACCCAAAGGAGACUGUUGGGUACACCUUCUAUCACAGAUCCGAAGGCAAGAUAUUCGUUGCUAAGAAUGGAUCCUUUCUAGAGAAGGAGUUUCUCUCGAAAGAACUGAGUGGGAGGAAAGUAGAACUUGAUGAAGUAAUUGUACCUUCUCCCGAAUUGGAUAGUAGUUCAUCACAGAAAUCAGUUCUAGUCAUUCCUACACCAAUCAGUGAGGAAGCUAAUGAUGAUGAUCAUGAAACUUCAGAUCAAGUUACUACUGAACCUCGUAGGUCAACCAGAGUAAGGUCUGCACCAGAGUGGUACGGUAAUCCUGUUCUGGAGGUCAUGUUACUUGACCAUGACGAACCUACGAACUAUGAGGAAGCGAUGAUGAGCCCAGAUUCCGCGAAAUGGCUUGAGGCCAUGAAAUCUGAGAUGGGAUCCAUGUAUGAGAACAAAGUAUGGACUUUGGUUGACUUGCCCGAUGAUCGGCAAGCCAUAGAGAAUAAAUGGAUCUUCAAGAAAAAGACUGACGCUGACGGUAAUGUUACUGUCUACAAAGCUCGAAUUGUUGCGAAAUGUUUUCGACAAGUUCAAGGAGUUGACUACGAUGAGACCUUCUCACCCAUAGCGAUGCUUAAGUCUGUCCGAAUCAUGUUAGCAAUUGCCGCAUUUUAUGAUUAUGAAGUUUGGCGGAUGGAUGUCAAAACUGCAUUCCUUAAUGGAUAUCUUAAAGAAGAAUUAUAUAUGAUGCAACCAGAAGGUUUUGUCGAUCCUAAAGGUGCUAACAAAGUGUGCAAGCUCCAGCGAUCUAUUUAUGGACCGAUGCAAGCCUCUCAGAGUUGGAACAUACGCUUUGAUUGUGUGAUCAAAGCAUAUGGUUUUAUACAGACUUUUGGAGAAGCCUGUAUUUACAAGAAAGUGAGUGGGAGCUCUGUAGCAUUUUGAUAUUAUAUGUGGAUGACAUAUUGUUGAUCGAAAAUGAUAUUGAAUUUCUGAAUAGCAUAAAAGGAUACUUGAAUAAGAAUUUUUCAAUGAAAGACCUUGGUGAAGCUGCUUAUAUAUUGGGCAUCAAGAUCUAUAGAGAUAGAUCAAGACGCUUAUUUGGACUUUCACAACGCACAUACCUUGAUAAAGUUUUGAAGAAGUUCAAAAUGGAUCAGUCAAAGAAAGGGUUCUUGCCUGUGUUACAAGGUGUGAAGUUGAGUCAGACUCAAUGCCCGACCACUGCAGAAGAUAGAGAGAAAAUGAAAGUCAUUCCCUAUGCCUCAGCCAUAGGUUCUAUCAUGUAUGCAAUGUUGUGUACCAGACCUGAUGUGUGCCUUGCUAUUAGUUUAGCAGGGAGGUACCAAAGUAAUCCAGGAGUGGAUCACUGGAUAGCGGUCAAGAACAUCCUGAAAUACCUGAAAAGGACUAAGGAUAUGUUUCUCGUUUAUGGAGGUGACAAAGAGCUCGUCGUAAUUGGUUAUGUCGAUGCAAGCUUUGACACUGAUCCGGAUGACUCUAAGUCACAAACCGGAUACGUGUUUAUAUCGAAUGGUGGAGCUGUCAGUUGGUGCAGUUCCAAGCAAAGCAUCGUGGCGAGAUCUACGUGUGAAGCGGAGUACGUAGCUGCUUCGGAAGCAGCAAAUGAAGGAGUCUGGAUGAAGGAGUUCAUAUCCGAUCUAGGUGUAAUACCUAGUGCAUCGGGUCCAAUGAAAAUCUUUUGUGAAAAUACUGGAUCUAUUGCCUUGGCGAAGGAAUCCAGAUUUCACAAGAGAACCAAACACAUCAGGAGACGCUUCAAUUCCAUCCGCGAUCAAGUCAAGGAGGGAGACAUAGAGAUUUGCAAAAUACAUACGGAUCUGAAUGUUGCAGACUCGUUGACUAAGCCUUUCUCACGAGCAAAACAUGAUCAGCACCAAGACUCCAUGGGUGUAAGAAUCAUUACUAUGUAAUCCAGAUUAUUGACUCUAGUGGAAGUGGGAGACUGAAGGAAAUAUGCCCUAGAGGCAAUAAUAAAGUGGUUAUUUAUAUUUCCUUAUAUCAUGAUAAAUGUUUAUUAUUCAUGCUAGAAUUGUAUUAACCGGAAACUUAGUACAUGUGUGAAUACAUAGACAAACAGAGUGUCCCUAGUAUGCCUCUACUAGACUAGCUCGUUAAUCAAAGAUGGUUAAGUUUCCUGACCAUAGACAUGUGUUGUCAUUUGAUGAAUGGGGUCACAUCAUUAGAGAAUGAUGUGAUGGACAAGACUCGUCCGUUAGCUUAGCAUUAAUGAUCGUUUAGUUUUAUUGCUAUUGCUUUCUUCAUGACUAAUACAUGUUCCUCUGACUAUGAGAUUAUGCAACUCCCGAAUACCGGAGGAACACCGUGUGUGCUAUCAAACGUUACCACGUAACUGGGUGAUUAUAAAGAUGCUCUACAGGUGUCUCCGAUGGUGUUUGUUGAGUUGGCAUAGAUUGAGAUUAGGAUUUGUCACUCCGUGUAUCGGAGAGGUAUCUCUGGGCCCUCUCGGUAAUGCACAUCACUAUAAGCCUUGCAAGCAAUGUGACUAAUGAGUUAGUUGUGGGAUGAUGCAUUACGGAACGAGUAAAGAGACUUGCCGGUAACGAGAUUGAACUAGGUAUGAUGAUACCGACGAUCGAAUCUCGGGCAAGUAACAUACCGAUGACAAAGGGAACAACGUAUGUUGUUAUGCGGUUUGAUCGAUAAAGAUCUUCGUAGAAUAUGUAGGAGCCAAUAUGAGCAUGCAGGUUCUGCUAUUGGUUAUUGACCAGAGAUGUGUCUCAGUCAUGUCUACAUAAUUCUCGAACCCGUAGGGUCCGCACGCUUAACAUUCGAUGACGAUUUGUAUUAUGAGUUAUGUGAUUUGAUGACCGAAGUUUGUUCGGAGUCCCGGAUGAGAUCACGGACAUGACGAGGAGUCUCGAAAUGGUCGAGAGGUAAAGAUCGAUAUAUUGGAAGGUUAUAUUCGGACAUCGGAAUGGUACUGAAGUGUUUCGGGUAUUUUGCGGAGUACCGGGAGGUUACCGGAACCCCCCGGGAGAGUAACGGGCCUUAAUGGGCUUUAGGGGAAAGGAGAGAAGGGCCUCAAGGGGUGGCCGCACCCCCCCCCCAUGGCUGGCCCGAAUUGGACUAGGAGGGGGCGGCGCCCCCCUCUUCCUCCUUCCCUCCUUCUCCUAGUUGGAAUAGGAAAGGGGGGGCGAAUCCUACUUGGACCGGGAGUCCAAGUAGGACUCCCCCCCUUGGCGCACCCUCUCUUGGGCCGGCCUACUCUUCCCCCCUCCUUUAUAUACUUGGGAGGGGGCCCCCCAAAGGCACACCAAGUCUUCUCUUAGUUGUGUGCGGUGCCCCCCUCCAUAGUUACACAAAUCAGUCAUAUCGUCGUAGUGCUUAGGCGAAGCCCCACGCCGGUAACUUAAUCAUCACCGUCGCAACGCCCUCGUGCUGACGGAACUCUCCCUCGUCCUGAACUGGAUCAAGAGCCCGAGGGACGUCAUCGUGCUGAACGUGUGCUGAAAACGGAGGUGUCGUACGUUCGGUACUUGGAUCGGUUGGAUCGUGAAGACGUUCGACUACAUCAACCGCGUUACUAAACGCUUCCGCUUUCGGUCUACGAGGGUACGUGGACACACUCUCCCUUCUUGUUCCUAUGCAUCUCCUAGAUAGAUAUUGAGUGAUCGUAGGAAUUUUUUUGAAAUACUGCGUUCCCCAACAGUGCAGUAGUACCGCUCCUAGCACGCGGUAGUACCGUGGCCUCUGAUACGUCUCCGUCGUAUCUAUAAUUUUGAUUGUUCCAUGCCAAUAUUACUCAACUUUCAUAUACUUUUGGCAACUUUUUAUACUAUUUUUGGGACUAACAUAUUGAUCAAGUGCCCAGUGCCAGUUCCUGUUUGUUGCAUGUUUUAUGUUUCGCAGAAACCCCAUAUCAAACGGAGUCCAAACAGGAUAAAAACGGACGGAGAAUUAUUUUGGAAUAUUUGUGAUUUUGGGAAGUAAAAUCAACGUGAGACGGUGCCCGAGGUGGCCACGAGGGUGGGGCCCACGCCCACUCCAGGCAGGCGCGCCCCUGACCCUCGUGGGCCACCCGUAAGGCGGUUGAUGCUCUACUUUGGCUACAAGAAAGCUAAUUUUUGGAAAAAGAUUUGGGCGAAGGUUUCAAUCCAAUCGGAGUUACGGAUCUCCAGAUAUAAAAGAAACGGUGCCACGGCAGAAUCCCAGAACGCAGAAACAGAGAGAGACAGAGACACAGAUCCAAUCUCGGAGGGGCUCUCGCCCCUCCCACGCCAUGGAGGCCAAGGACCAGAGGGGAAACCCUUCUCCCAUCUAGGGAGGAGGUCAAGGAAGAAGAAGACGAAGGGGGCCCCUCUCCCCUUCUCUUCCGGUGGCGCCGGAACGCCGCCGUGGCCAUCAUCAUCACCGCAAUCUUCACCAACAACUUCACCGCCAUCAUCACCAACUCUUCCCCCCUCUAUGCAGCGGUGUAACCUCUCUCUUACCCGCUGUAAUCUCUACUUAAACAUGGUUCUCAACGUUAUAUAUUAUUUCCCAAUGAUGUAUGGCUAUCCUAUGAUGUUUGAGUAGAUCCGUUUUGUCCUAUGGGCUAUUUGAUGAUCAAGAUUGGUUUGAUUUGCAUGUUUUAUUAUUGGUGAUGUCCUAUGGUGCUCUCCGUGUCGCGCAAGCAUGAGGGAUUCCCGCUGUAGGGUUUGCAAUAUGUUCAUGAUUUGCUUAUGGUGGGUGGCGUGAGUGACAGAAGCACAGACCCGAGUAAGUAGGUUGUUUGUGUAUGGGAUAAAGGGGAUUUGAUACUUUAAUGCUAUGGUUGGGUUUUACCUUAAUGAUCUUUAGUAGUUGCGGAUGCUUGCUAGAGUUCCAAUUAUAAGUGCAUAUGAUCCAAGUAGAGAAAGUAUGUUAGCUUAUGCCUCUCCCUCAAAUAAAAUUGCCAUAAUGAUUACCGGUCUAGUUAUCGAUUGCCUAGGGACAAAUAACUUUCUCGUGACAACAAGCACUUUACUAAAACUAAUUUAGUUGUGUCUUCAUCUAAACAACCCCUACUUUUUAUUUACGCUCUCUUUAUUUUCUUGCAAACCUAUCCAAAAACACCUACAAAGUACUUCUAGUUUUAUGCUUGUUUCCGAUAAAGCGAACGUCAAGCGUGCGUAGAGUUGUAUCGAUGGUCGAUAGAACUUGAGGGAGUAUUUGUUCUACCUUUAGCUCCUCGUUGGGUUCGACCCUCUUACUUAUCAAAAACUGUUGCGAUCCCCUAUACUUGUGGGUUAUCAAGACCUUUUUCUGGCGCCGUUGCCGGGGAGCAAUAGCGUGGGGUGAAUAUUCUCAUGUGUGCUUGUUUGCUUUAUCCCUAAGUAAUUUUUAUUUGCUGUUCUUAGUUGUUCUCUAUCUUUAGUUAUGGAUAUGGAACAUGAAAUACCAAAAAAUUAGGGAUAAUUAUAUUUAUGCCCCUAGUUGUGUCCCACUCGUCUGUUUUACCCCUAAUUCCCAAAAGUCACCGGUUCUGUCCAAGUCACUUUGAUCCUCUUAUGCUUUUGCCCUUUGACCGUUUGACCGUCAGUUUGAAAACUUCAUAACUAAUUCAUACAAAAUCAAAAAAAUGCAAAUAAGAUACCAAAUUUUCAGAAAAAUAUCACCUAUAUGUCAGUGUCAUUUGCAUUCAUGAAAAAAGUGUUGGAAAGUGCACAUCCGAGUUUUAGCUCUUUUGAUACCACCAUGAAUAGUAAACUCUAAAAAAUUCAAAAAAAUAUGGUGGCAAAUAACGACAAGUGUUCUAAGUGCUUGCCAAGUUUCAUUAGGGAACGACAUUCGUGGAAGUCGUGGCAAAAAAAUAAUCUAUUUUGGAGUGCUGAUUGUUUUUUUUUUGCCGCGGCACCCACGAAUGUUAUUCCCUGAUGAAACUUGGCAGGCACUUAAAACAUUUGUCAUUCUUUGCCACCAAUUUUUUUUUGAAUUUUUUUGAAUUUUUUUAGAUUUUACUAUUCAUGGUGGUAGCAUAAGAGCUAAAACUCGGAUGGGCACUUUCCAACACUUUUUUCAUGAAUGCAAAUGACACUGACAUAUAGGUGAUGUUUUUCUGAACAUUUUGGUAUCUUAUUUGCAUUUUUCUGAUUUAGUAUGAAUUAGUUAUGAAGUUUUCAAACUGACGGUCAAACGGUCAAAGGGCAAAAGCAUAAGAGGAGCAAAGUGAUUUGGACAGAACCAGUGACUUUUGGGAAUUAAGGGUAAAACAGACGAGUGGGACACAACUAGGGGCAUAAAUCUAAUUAUCCCAAAAAAUUAGGUGUACUUGCUGCUCAUGGAGAUGAGGAACCUCCUAAAACCCUCGAUGCUCGUUAUGUGAUAGAUAUUAUGUACUACUUUGAUAAUCCUGAGAAAACCCCAUUCAACUUUGUAAUGGGAGUAACGUUGGAUCAACGUGAAUACUUCAGGGAUUAUCGCUUGACUCAAAAAGGGAAACUAUUAUGGGAUCAAAUUCAUAUAUUGAAGUGGUAUGCUAGGCAACUAUGCUUGAGAUAUGAUUAUACUUGUUGCUCUAGGAUGAAGGCUCCACACCUUUCCUUUUCAUGCAAAUUUAAUGAUAAUAAAACCUUAGCUUCUUAUGCUAAUGGUAUAUAUGAUUACUAUGAUGUGGAACAAAUAGAAGAAUUUGUUGCUUUUAUGGGUGCUUAUGAAAUUGAAUCUAUGUUUAAAGAGUUUGAAGAUUUUGAUGAUUCGGUUUAUAGACCUGAAAAUUUAGCUAUCCUUAAAUAUUGUUAUGAGAAUUAUGAAUACAAUUACGAUAUUAAUGCACUUAUUGAGAAAGUCUCCGCUGUCCAAGAAGAGACUAAUAUUUUGCAGGAAUCUAUGGAAGAAGAAGUUGAUGAAACUGUGAGCUCAUUGGAUGAAAAAGAUGAGGAUGAGAGCGAAGAACAAAAGGAGGAAGAGCGGAUUGAUCACCCGUGCCCACCUUCUAAUGAGAGUAACUCUUCAACUCAUACAUUGUUUAAUUCCCCUUCGUUCUUACCGAAGGAUGAUUGCUAUGAUGACUGUUAUGAUCCCUUUGAUUCUUUUGAAAUAUCCCUUUUUGAUGAUGCUUGCUAUGCUUGUGGCCAAGAUGCCAAUAUGAAUUAUGCUUAUGGAGAUGAACUUGCUAUAGUUCCUUAUGAUAAACAUGAAAUUGUUGCUAUUGCACCCACGCAUGAUAGUCCUAUUAUCUUUUUGAAUUUUCCAAACUACACUAUAUCGGAGAAGUUUGCUCUUAUUAAGGAUUAUAUUGAUGGGUUGCCUUAUACCGUUGCACAUGAUGAUUUUGAUAGAUAUAAUAUGCAUGUGCUUGCUGCUCCUACUUGCAAUUAUUAUGAGAGAGGAACUAUAUCUCCACCUCUCUAUGUUUCCAACAUGGUAAAAUUGCAAGAAGUUGUUUAUACUAUGCAUUGGCCUUUACUAUGUGUGCAUGAAUUGUUCUUUUAUGACAUGCAUAGGAAGAGAGUUAGACUUCGUCAUUGCUUGAUAUAUGUUGCUUUGUGCUCACUACUAAAUUACAAAUCAUUGUUAAUUAAAAUUGGCUUUGAUAUACCUUGGGAUCCGGGUGGAUUCAUUACCUGAGCAUCUUAUGCCUAGCUUAAUGGCUUUAAAGAAAGCACUGCCAGGGAGACAACCCGGAAGUUUUAGAUAGUCAUUUAUUUCUGUUGAGUGCUUUCAUAUAGUUUAAAAACAACAAAAAUAAAGAGGGGAACCCAAAACUUUUUCAAAAAGGAAAGUGAAAGUGAGAGAGACAAGCAUUGUUGAAGUGGGAGCUAGCCUUGAACUUUGUUCAUGCUCACGGAAACUUUGUGAAUCUUGAUUACAGAAACUUUUCAAUAAAAAUAGUUAUCCCCUUGUACAAUUCCAUUGUAUAAGGUUUGCCUUUAGGAUGUUUGCAAUGCUUGUUGGUUUGUACGGUGCAGGACAGAAACUUUGGCUGUAAUGCACGAUUUUUAAUUUUUUUACUGGAACGUCAAAUGGUUCUGAUUAUUUUUGCACUGUCUUUCUAUACAAAUUUUUUAUUUUUCCUAAUUUUGGCAGAAUUUUUCAAGUAUCAUAAGUAUGGUGAAUGUUCAGAUUAUUAUAGACUGUUCUGUUUUAGACAGAUUCUGUUUUUGAUGCAUAGUUUGCUUGUUUUGAUGAAACUAUCGAUUUAUAUCAGUGGAUUAAGCCAUGAAAAAGUUAUACUACAGUAUACACAAUGCAAAAACAAAAUAUGAAUUGGUUUGCAACAGUACUUAGAGUAGUGAUUUGCUUUAUUAUACUAACGGAUCUUACCGACUUUUCUGUUGAAGUUUUGUGUGGAUGAAGUGUUCGAUGGUCGAGAAGGUCUCGAUGUGAGAAGAAGGAAGAGACGCAAGAGCUCAAGCUUGGGGAUGCCUGAGGCACCCCAAGUAAAUAUUCAAGGAGACUCAAGCGUCGAAGCUUGGGGAUGCCCCGGAAGGCAUCCCCUCUUUCUUCAACAAGUAUCGGUAUGUUUUCGGAUUCGUUUCGUUCAUGCGAUAUGUGCAAAUCUUGGAGCGUCUUUUGCUUUAGUUUUCAAUUUUCUUUUAUGCACCAUGCUGGUAUGAGAUAGUCCUUGGUUUAUUUAUAGAAUGCUCUAUGCACUUCACUUAUAUCUUUUGAGCAUGGCUUUAUAGAAUGCUUCAUGUGCUUCACUUAUAUCAUUUGAAGUUUGGAUUGCCUGUUUCUCUUCACAUAGAAAACCGCCAUUUGUAGAAUGCUCUUUUGCUUCACUUAUACUUGUUAGAGCGUGGGCAUAUCUUUUGUAGAAAGAAUUAAACUCUCUUGCUUCACUUAUAUCUAUUUAGAGAGUUGACGGGAAUUGGUCAUUCACAUGGUUAGUCAUAAAAUCCUACAUAAAACUUGUAGAUAACUGAAUAUGAUAUGUUUGAUUCCUUGCAAUAUUUUUGCGAUAUAAAGAUGGUGAUAUUAGAGUCAUGCUAGUGGGUAGUUGUGGAUUAGUAGAAAUACUUGUGUUGAGGUUUGUGAUUCCCGUAGCAUGCACGUAUGGUGAAUCGUUAUGUGAUGAAGUCGGAGCAUGAUUUAUUUAUUGAUUGUCUUCCUUAUGAGUGGCAGUCGGGGACGAGCGAUGGGCUUUUCCGACCAAUCUACCCCCCUAGGAGCAUGCGCGUAGUACUUUGUUUUGAUAACUAAUAGAUUUUUGCAAUAAGUAUGUGAGUUCUUUAUGACUAAUGUUGAGUCCAUGGAUUAUACGCACUCUCACCCUUCCACCAUUGCUAGCCUCUCUAGUACCGUGCAACUUUCGCCGAUACCAUAAACCCACCAUAUACCUUCCUCAAAAUAGCCACCAUACCUACCUAUCAUGGCAUUUCCAUAGCCAUCCCGAGAUAUAUUGCCAUGCAACUUCCAUCAUCAUCAUAUACAUGACUCGAGCAUUCAUUAUCAUAUUGCUUUGCAUGAUCAUAAGAUAGCUAGCAUGAUAUUUUCAUGGCUUGUCCGUUUUUUUAUGUCAUUGCUACGCUAGAUCAUUGCACAUCCCGGUACACCGCCGGAGGCUUUCAUAUAGAGUCAUACCUUUGUUCUAUUAUCGAGUUGUAAUAUUGAGUUGUAAGUAAAUAAAAGUGUGAUGAUCAUCAUUAUUAGAGCAUUGCCCCAGUGAGGAAAGGAUGAUGGAGACUAUGAUUCCCCCACAAGUCGGGAUGAGACUUCGGACAUUACAAAAAAAUAAAAGAGGCCAAAGAAGGCCAAAUAAAAAAAGAGGCCAAAGAAGCCCACCAAAAAAAUAUAAAAAAAGGAGAAAAUAAAAAAAUGAGAGAAAAAGAGAGAAGGGGCAAUGCUACUAUCCUUUUACCACACUUGUGCUUCAGAGUAGCACCAUGUUCUUCAUAUAGAGAGUCUCUUGAGUUAUCACUUUCAUAUACUAGUGGGAAUUUUCAUUAUCGAACUUGGCUUGUAUAUUCCGAUGAUGGGCUUCCUCAAAUGCCCGAGGUCUUCAUGAGCAAGCAAGUUGGAUGCACACCCACUUAGUUUCAGUUUGAGCUUUCAUACACUUAUAGCUCUAGUGCAUCCGUUGCAUGGCAAUCCCUACUCCUCACAUUGACAUCAAUUUAUCGGCAUCUCCAUAGCCCGUUGAUUAGCCGCGUCGAUGUGAGACUUUCUCCUUUUUGUCUUCUCUACAUAAUCUUCACCAUCAUAUUCUAUUCCACCUAUAGUGCUAUGUCCAUGGCUCACGCUCAUGUAUUGCGUGAAAGUUGAAAAGGUUUGAGAACGUCAAAAGUAUGAAAUAAUUGCUUGGCUUGUCAUCGGGGUUGUGCAUGAUUUGAAUAUUUUGUGGUGGAGACGGAGCAUAGCCAGACUAUAUGAUUUUGUAGGGAUAACUUUCUUUGGCCAUGUUAUUUUGAAAAGACAUGAUUGCUUUAUUAGUAGGCUUGAAGUAUUAUUGUUUUUAUGUCAAAUGAUAGACUAUUGCUUUGAAUCACUCGUAUCUUAAUAUUCAUGCCAUGAUUAGAUACAUGAUCAAGAUUAUGCUAGGUAGCAUUCCACAUCAAAAAUUAUCUUUUUUAUCAUUUACCUACUCGAGGACGAGCAGGAAUUAAGCUUGGGGAUGCUGAUACAUCUCCGUCGUAUCUCUAAUUUUUGAUUGUUCCAUGCCAAUAUUAUUCAACUUUCAUAUACUUUUGGAAACUUUUUAUACUAUUUUUGGGACUAACAUAUUGAUCCAGUGCCCAGUGCCAGUUCCUAUUUGUUGCAUGUUUUAUGUUUCGCAGAAACCCCAUAUCAAACGGAGUCCAAACGGGAUAAAAACGGACGGAGAAUUAUUUUGGAAUAUUUGUGAUUCUGGGAAGUAAAAUCAACGCGAGACGGUGCCUGAGGUGGCCACGAGGGUGGGGCCCACGCCCACUCCAGGCAGGCGCACCCCUGACCCUCGUGGGCCACCCGUAAGGCGGUUGAUGCUCUACUUUGGCUGCAAGAAAGCUAAUUUUUGGAAAAAGAACUGGGCGAAGGUUUCAAUCCAAUCGGAGUUACGGAUCUCCAGAUAUAAAAGAAACGGUGCCAGGGCAGAAUCCCAGAACGCAGAAACAGAGAGAGACAGAGAGACAGAUCCAAUCUCGGAGGGGCUCUCGCCCCUCCCACGCCAUGGAGGCCAAGGACCAGAGGGGAAACCCUUCUCCCAUCUAGGGAGGAGGUCAAGGAAGAAGAAGACGAAGGGGCCCCCUCUCCCCUUCUCUUCCGGUGGCGCUAGAACGCCGUCGUGGCCAUCAUCAUCACCGCAAUCUUCACCAACAACUUCACCGCCAUCAUCACCAACUCUUCCCCCCUCUAUGCAGCGGUGUAACCUCUCUCUUACCCGCUGUAAUCUCUACUCAAACAUGGUGCUCAACGCUAUAUAUUAUUUCCCAAUGAUGUAUGGCUAUCCUAUGAUGUUUGAGUAGAUCCGUUUUGUCCUAUGGGCUAUUUGAUGAUCAAGAUUGGUUUGAGUUGCAUGUUUUAUUAUUGGUGAUGUCCUAUGGUGCUCUCCGUGUCGCGCAAGCGUGAGGGAUUCCCGCUGUAGGAUUUGCAAUAUGUUCAUGAUUUGCUUAUGGUGGGUGGCGUGAGUGACAGAAGCACAGACCCGAGUAAGUAGGUUGUUUGCGUAUGGGAUAAAGGGGACUUGAUACUUUAAUGCUAUGGUUGGGUUUUACCUUAAUGAUCUUUAGUAGUUGCGGAUGCUUGCUAGAGUUCCAAUUAUAAGUGCAUAUGAUUCAAGUAGAGAAAGUAUGUUAGCUUAUGCCUCUCCCUCAAAUAAAAUUGCAAUAAUGAUUACCGGUCUAGUUAUCGAUUGCCUAGGGACAAAUAACUUUCUCGUGACAACAAGCUCUUUACUAAAACUAAUUUAGUUGUGUCUUCAUCUAAACAGCCCCUACUUUUUAUUUACGCUCUCUUUAUUUUCUUGCAAACCUAUCCAAAAACACCUACAAAGUACUUCUAGUUUUAUUCUUGUUUCCGGUAAAGCGAACGUCAAGCGUGCGUAGAGUUGUAUCGGUGGUCGAUAGAACUUGAGGGAAUAUUUGUUCUACCUUUAGCUCCUUGUUGGGUUCGACACUCUUACUUAUCGAAAACUGUUGCGAUCCCCUAUACUUGUGGGUUAUCAAGAGCCUCUGGCCCAGAGCGGUGGCGUGCGCGGAAGUAAUUUUUUACUUCCGCACCCUACGCGGUAUUACCGCUCCCUGUGAGCUGUAGUAUCGUGACGGAUUUUUGCACAGACCAAAACUCAGCGAAAGUAGCCACGGAUGUAAUUUUAUUAGUCCGUGCCUUCCUAGUCCAGAAUGAGCCGUGCCUUGAGGUAGUACCGCUCCGGCGGUUCUACCGCUCGUUGCCAUGUGCAUCAGGGUCUCAUCUGGCCCCUGCCGCGCGAGCGGUAGUACCGCAUGCCUGUGCGGUAGUACCAUGAGUAUGUGCAAUAGUACCGCAUGUCGCGGGCUGAGUAAGUGGGUAACGGUUGGAUCUUUCCUCUCACUAUAUAAGGGGGGUCUUCUUCCCAAGUUGACCACCUCUUCCCUCCCCAAGCUCCAUUGUUGCUCAAAGCUCCAUUUUCGCCCGAUCUCUCUCCCUAGCCAAUCAAACUUGUUGAUUUUCUAGGGAUUGGUUGAGAAGGCCCCGAUCUACACUUCCACCAAGAGAAAUUUGAUCCCCCCACUAAUCUCUUGCGGAUCCCUUUACUCUUCGGUGUUUGAGCACCCUAGACAGUUGAGGUCACCGCGGAGCCAUAUUCCAUUGUGGUGAAGCUUCGUGGUGUCGUUGGGAGCCUCCAAUUAAGUUGUGGAGAUUGCCCCAACCUUGUUUGUAAAGGUUCGGUCGUCGCCUCCAAGGGCACCAAUAGUGUAAUCACGGCAUCUCGCAUUGUGUGAGAGCGUGAGGAGAAUACGGUGGCCCUAGUGGCUUCUUGGGGAGCAUUAUUCCUCCACACCGCUCCAACGGAGACGUACUUCCUCUCAAAGGGAAGGAACUUCGGUAACACAUCCCCGUCUCCACCGGCUCCACUUUUGGUUAUCUCUUACCUUUACUUGUGCAAGCUUAUAUUGAAUUGUAUCCCUUGCUUGCUUGUGUGCUUGUUGUUGUUGCAUCAUAUAGGUUGCUCACCUAGUUGCAUAUCUAGACAACCUACUUUGAUGCAAAGUUUAAAUUGGUAAAGAAAAUCUAAAAAUUGUUAGUUGCCUAUUCACCCCGCCCCCCUCUAGUCAACUAUAUCGAUCCUUUCAGUAUUUGUUUCCGCUUCUGCAAAAAAAUAUGAUAGCACUCAGUUCAGUCCAUUUCCGCUCCGUUUUCGUCCCUACACCCCUGCUUGGCCAACCUAUCGGCGGUACAAAUUCAAUCUUUAAUUGCCAAUCGGACAAAGAAAUUACUCUUGGGUGAAGCCCUGUUGAAGUGUAUAUGUGGAUUGCCUAUCCCUUUUUAUUAGUUCGAACUUUUGAUUGUGUUGCCUAGUGCAUGAAGCUUAACAUGGUAUCAGAGGCUAAGGUCUUUGGUUCAAGUAUUUCCUCUUCGGCUUGAUCUUUCCUUUGCUUCGAUCACCAACUUGCACCUCCUUGAUGAAAUCACUGUUUUUUCGCCUUGUAAUAUGUCCGGUUACAUUCCAAAGAUGAAUCAGACCAGGGACUUUCGUAAUUUAUUCAAAAAUUAUUGUUGCCCCCCUCUCUGUCCACGUAUAGACCUCUUAAGCCAUACUUGUGAGUUGAUUCACAUGUUGACUUUUCGCGUUAGACAUGAGAGGCGUGUUGAAGUGUAUAUGUGGAUUGACUAGACCUUUCCAUCAGUUCAAACUUUUUGUUGCGUUGGCUGGUGCAUGAAGCUUAGCAAGCCCAAACCUUUCAAACAAUUUGUUCUAUGGGUGAUACAACGAAGCUUAGGAAUUGCGCCUUAUUAGGGCAUCUCCAAGGCACACCCACAAGCCGUCCGCUUCCGUCCGGGUCACGCCGUUCAGACCGAGAAAGCCAUCUAGCGUCGACCUAUAUCAGUCCGUGGGGCGGUCCAGACACGAUUUCUUCUGCAAAUUGGAGACAAAAUGGGGGGAGGUUCGCGGGAGUCCGGACACACGAAACAUAGGACUCCAACACACCCGCCCCACCUAAUCCCCCGGUACCAUUUCCUUCCACUCCGCCCUUCUCUCCCUCACUUUGCUUCCGCACCCUCCACCUCCUCCAUCGCUGAUGUACGUCUCUGGCCGCCAUAAAUGCAUUGUCGAACGUCCGCAACCAGUAGCGACGCGCCCGCUCGACGUUACGGCGGAGCUGCCCACCCUGGAGCCGUCUGUACCUAGGUACACUCCGCCUCCUGUCGACGACCUCCGUGGCGGACACCAUGUCUGACAGGUGUUCGGUCAAAAUGCCAUUGAGCUUAUUUUCAAAUGCCACGUCAUUUUUUGGAGUACGAAGGAUGGUGAGUUACUCGAGCAUGGAGGAUGAGUUGUUGUGCGAUGCAUGGCUGGCCAUAUCCGCAGAUUUCAUACGCAUGAGCAGAGGGGGGGCCCUCCUGGGAGCAAGUGCAUGAAAAGUUUCACGCACAAAAGCACAUUACGUCCUACGACAUGUACAUCGUUCAACCAGGCAACGUGAUGUCGUUAUCGUAUUGCUGUCACGCUAUCCAGAUCAACGCCAUCAAGUUUUACAACGUGGUUCGUCAGCUCGAAGCAAGGUGGACAUUUGCACGCGGCACAAGACGAGAUCAUAAGUUUUACUUCCUUUUACUCAACUUGUUGAUUGAUUCAUUCACUCAAUGUUGGUCUACACAUUAUAUGUAGCCCACAAGCGUCGCCGAGGUGUACCACGGGAGAGAGAGACGGCCAUUUACGUACACACGCUGUUGGAUGAAGCUAAAGGGGGAGCAUGUGUGGAACGACAUGAUUCAUUCAUGAAAACUUGUUGGACAUCCGGGAUCUAGUAGAAUUAGAGACAUUGUUGUACUGGAAUUAAUUUGCAUGUUAUGUAUGCAUGAUUUUUGCUAUUUUAUAUCUGAAUUUUGGAUGAAUUUUGUCCGGUUAGUUAAAAUGCGGUUUGAAAUGUAUGCGGCUGCGGUUGAAUGGCGUCCUCCUACAUUGGUCCAGCGUCAAAAUGUUGAGCAAACAUCCAAAAGAGUGAAAAAUUGGCGGAUGUACCCAAUAGAAAUAAACGGUGGAUGGGCUGAUCUGGAGGAUCCACGCGGUUGAGAGCUAUGAGUUGUGACAGAACAAGGUCGUGCCAGUUGCACAUGGCGUCCUAGCACACGGGCACGUACGGCCGAAACGCAGCACGGUGCUCCUCAGGUAGCUAGGACCAUAGCACAUGGUACCACUACCUCCAUCCGCAGGCCUUCCCAUCCCCUGUUAGCGUGAGUUGUCCCCACAUGUCAAUCAGUCACUGCAUGGUCGAAUGACAAUUUUUGCUUGUGAGGUGCGGUGCAUAGCUCACAGCAGAUCGGUACUGCUUCGACACGGUACUUUCUGUGAGAGGGUACCUUGUGAACGAAUUUUUUUUGUUAGAAGUACAACAGUAAGUGAAGCGGCCGGGAAAGAGCUACGUAGCAUUUCAGGUGGAUGCAGCGAAGGCUGGUCGUCUUGUACAGUCUGGAGACAAAUCCAGUCUCCAGGGUCCUACUUUGUUCUCCGGGAUCAUUAGCCAUUCGGAGCUACGCGCCAGAGCCAGAGUCACAAUCAAAAUCAUCAAUUAGAGGCCCACGUUCCAUCAACAAACAAUAACCCAUUCCUAAGCAUGGCCCGGCAAAGCUUUGUUUGCGAGCGCAUGCCGCUGCAUGGCAAACUGUCGUAGUAGCUACUACUCCAGUACAAUUCUACAGUAAGGAUCACACUGCCUGUUCUGCCACAGUUGUGACAGUAACACGUAUCAAACCCGAUCGGGACCCGAGCUGUUCGGGUUUACGAGCAGUCGUGGACAAUCUCGUCCGACUCCACGCGGUGGCGACGCCGUUGCUGGAUCACAGAGCCAUGCAUCACGUACGCCAGCCAUUCAUGCAACAUGGCCGUGAUCGACGUCCCACCCCUCCGUGGCCGGGCAGCUGCUAUAUAGGCCAACAGAAAACCCACGGCGCCCGGCCUCGGUGCCCGUGUGCGGUGGCCGUGGCACGCGCUGCCUCAUUCCCGCCGCUCCGACAGACACACAGACCGGCCGCCGUGCCGUAGCCAUCGCCGAUUGCGCACGGACGCAUCGCACGCAAGUAGGAGAGGCAAUGAUAGAUGGGUGCUGGUAUGGUAUCAGCGUACGCCGGCACGCCGCUAUCUGGUCCAACAUCUGAAGAAGGCGUCACACGUCCGUCCCAACAAGCAUGCAAUUGGGAUUGUUAAUUAGCGCAGCUGUACUGCCGCGCGCGCAGCCAAUGCCUCUGUCCGUAUCUGCUAAUCCGCCGACGGGACCACGGCAAGCUCGGGGUGGGGGUCUGGUUGUUGCAAGACACAACAAAAUUUGGAGCAAUCAGGUGCAAGACCACGGAGCAUGUGCGACGGGACGACCAGCGGGCGACGUUUCAAAAGGAUAAGGACGGCGAGGUUGCACGGUGCUAGGUGUAGCACACAGGCCGUGCACAUCAAAGGAGGAAAUGUCGACGUAAAUAAAUGCUAGACAGGGUUGGCCUUUAUUGGUUUAUUUUGGGCCCUUGGACUUGGAGAGAAGUGCUGCAUCGAUGGAGAACUGUACAUGGAGUGGCCCUAGCUAUCCUAGCGAGUGAGGGUGCAGGACAUUGGAUUCCUUUCCAGCCCCGGCGCCCAUGGACGUGGAUACGGCUCGUGUUAAGCGGGGACUACUCUGACACUCACGCUAUGUAGAUCUAAACAAGUCAAUGAUCCUGCAAUCUUGCCGAAAUUAACGAGUCCCAUGCGUAGCUCUGCGUCCUCCUAGUACUACUACUACCUCUCAGGCUGAGCAGCUGACAUGCAUCAUGCAUGGCCCCGGUACACACACGAGGUAGCAAGAAAACACCAGGGAUCACGGGGUAGGCUAGGCGGUAGUGGACCGGGGGCUUAACAACAGGCGGCGCCGUAGUGAUCCCCGUUCCCGAAUCAAUGCGUGGCAGACAAUAACUAGCGAGAUUGUAUGUACACACGCGUCGUGGUACGCCAGUCAGUAGCUACUGUCAUGUACCUAUCGUGUACUCCCUCCGUUUCAAAAUAGAUGACUCAACUUUGUACUAAUUUUAAUACAAAGUUAGGCCAACUCCACCGCGCGACCCUAUCAUGUCCGCACCCGUCCGUUUGGGAUAAAACGGACGAAUCAGACGGCCCAGCGCGCGGGCGCAAACGGACUUUUGUCCGCUUUGUGUCCGCUUUCAACCCAUCCGCGGCCCAAGUUUGCGCCGGUUUUGGGGUGAAACGGACAGCGCGCGGACAGGCGGGACGCACGCGCUUGUCCUCCCCUGGCCCGCCUNNNNNNNNNNNNNNNNNNNNNNNNNNNNNNNNNNNNNNNNNNNNNNNNNNNNNNNNNNNNNNNNNNNNNNNNNNNNNNNNNNNNNNNNNNNNNNNNNNNNNNNNNNNNNNNNNNNNNNNNNNNNNNNNNNNNNNNNNNNNNNNNNNNNNNNNNNNNNNNNNNNNNNNNNNNNNNNNNNNNNNNNNNNNNNNNNNNNNNNNNNNNNNNNNNNNNNNNNNNNNNNNNNNNNNNNNNNNNNNNNNNNNNNNNNNNNNNNNNNNNNNNNNNNNNNNNNNNNNNNNNNNNNNNNNNNNNNNNNNNNNNNNNNNNNNNNNNNNNNNNAUUUCCACAAACCCUCUCACGUCCCUCCCGCCCGUCCCCUCUCUCCCCCGUCCAUGGCCGACGCCCCGCCGAAUUCCGGCGGCCUGGCCGUCGACCCGCCCACAAAGGUGAAGAAGAAGGCGGCCAAGGCGCCAAGGAAGUCGCGGUCGGAGUGCACGCCGGAGGAGAUCGCCAAGUUGGACGCGGAAUCGGCGAAGAGGAGGGAGCGGAGAGCGGUCGUCAAGGUCAAUGCCGCCGCGGCCAAGUUCGCCGCCCAGCGCGAUGCGAUGGAGGCCGCGGUCGACGAGAAGGAGGACCUCGUCCACAAAGCGCACGCCCGCCUCAUGCUUGGCAUGGGCCGUCCGGCCGGGUUCCCUGCAGCGGCCAUCGGCCCCGCGAGCACAGGCUCGUCGGUCGCCCGGCCUCCGCACUGCCAGUCGCGGACCGCGCCCAUGUAGCCCGGCCUUCCUCCGCCAAGGCACGACGGCCAGACCCGUUUCUAUGGGUCGCCGGACGUGGGCUUGUUCACGCCGUCCACACCGCGUCCCGCGGCCUUCAUCGACCUCAACGUCACGCCUGGGUCCAGCAGAGGCGGCUGGGCGUCCGUCGAGAUGCAAAGAAAGCAAGCACGGGCACCGUUCACGGGCACCAUGUCGGCCCCCCCCGCGUCUUGUUUGACGGAAUGUCAACACCAACGCCAACGGUCGACGGCCCCUUCUACAACCAGUACAUGGAGGACGUGAUCUUCGAGGGUGGGCAUGGCCGUGCCUACGACCCCGAGGAGACCCAAAGUCAGGAUGGCCGCGCCCAGUACGUGCCCGAUGAAGAGGCCGACAACCGUGCUGACUACGACCAUGGUGACUCGUGGCAUGAAGAUAAUGACAUCUAUGUCGAAGGUGAUGGUGAUGAAGAAGAAGGCAAUGACGUUGAUAUUAGUGGCGAGCCAUUGUUCAUCGACGAGCUCACCCAAAGAGCGAAAGCACAAAAGAAGAGGAAGAGCAUUCGCACGGGUUCAUAUACACAAGAUGAGGACAAGUUGAUUUGCCAAGCUUGGAUGGAGAUUAGCCAAGAUCCGAGGACCGGCGCGCAACAAAAGGGCAUUGUUUUUUGGACGAGAGUCCACAAAACAUUUCAUGAAAGGAAGAUGUUUGAGCCCUACCAAUUUACAAGCAACCGUGGCAUCAGCUCGAUUCAAAAGAGAUGGUUGUUCAUCCAACAAGAGUGCAACAAGUAUUGCGCCGCAUUUGAGAGCGUUGAAGCACGACCCGUGAGUGGUCUCGGCGUUGGGGACAUGGUAUGCUCUCCUCUUCCUAGCCCUUUCCUUGCUACGGCCAUGAGACUUCGGCCGUGUAUAUAUGUUUGCAUGUUCACUUGUUGUUGAUCAUGUGGUGUAGGCAUUUCAAUCUUUGGAGGCAUUCAAGGCCCGGCACAAUGACAAGCCAUUCACUCUUACGCAUUGUUGGACGAUCAUCAACAAUUGCCCUAAGUUCAAGGACCAAUACCGUGAACUACAAAGGAAGAGAUGACUGAAGACGGACAAGUUCGCCGGAGGUGGAGAUGGCGAUGCGUUGAAGAGGCCGAGGGGCAAGACCAACUCCAAGGUUGAUGACAUACGUGAUGCCUCAUCCAUGGCAUUGCAUGACACUUUGCAUGGCAUGAUGUCCCAAAAGGAUGUGAGGGACGAGAAGAAGCGGCAAAGUAAGGACGAGCAAAUGAAGCAAUACCUAGACCUUCAAAGAAAGAAGCUUGAGAUGGAGGAGGAGGCCAAGAGGAGGAAGAUCGACAUGGAGGAGGCGGCCGGCAAAGGCAGUUCGACAUGGAGGAGGCGGCCCGGCAAAGGCAGCUCGACAUCGAGGCCGACAACGUCAAGGCCAGGCAGAGGCAGCUCGACAUCGAGGCCACCAAUGCCGCCACCAAAGCGAAGGAGGUGGCCCUUGCGAUCAUGAGCGUGGACUUGUCGAAGAUGAGCGAGAAGACGAGGGCCUAGUUCGAGGCCAGGCAGAAGGAGAUGCUCGACGCCGAAGGCCUGAACUAGGUCGUCCGAUCGGCGUGGCCGUUCUUUUUUGGAGGCUGGCAUGGGUGCUGCCCGCCCGAUGGGCCGCUGGUAGUGUGCCGGCGAGAAAACAUUCAUUUUGGUGGCCGGCUGUGUUGCCGGCGAGGACAACUAUUCAUUUUGGAGGCUGGCUGUGUUGCCGGCCGCUGGCUGAUGCCGGCGAUGGACAUGUAGGCCGCUGGCUAUGUUGCCGGCGUGAUGAACCGGGGCCGCUGGCCUGAACUAAGGCUUGGCAUUUGAAACGAUGCUUUGGUUUUUUAAAUAGACGCGGACAUGAUGGGGCAAAUGAAUGCGGCCGUGCGCGGACACGCCCGGACACGACCUCAAAUUCCUACCCAAACGGACAGAAUUCGGACAAAACGGACGUCCGUUUGGGUCGCGCGGAAGUUGGCCUUAUUACAAAGUUGAGUCAUCUAUUUUGAAACGGAGGGAGUAGUAGGUACAUACUACUCGGGACUAGUACUGCAUGCAUAGCCACGCGCUGCGCCAAAUGGCAAGCAUGCCCGGCGCACACGCACACCGUCGCGGCCAAGAGAUGGCAUGCACGAGCGAGUGGUGAACUGGUGACCAGUCCUCAGGCCGUCACGCGGCACGGUGGCAGGGCGUCCGCCCCGCCGCGCGGCGCGGCGCCAUCCCCACGCGCGUGCGCGGGUGACCACUCGCGCGCCGGGACAAAGCCACGUAAAGAUAGCCAGCCGCGGGCACCGCACUGGGCCGGAGCACGUCCUGCGCUGCGUCCACGGCCCGUCUCCUUCCCCCACGCCUUUCGCGGCGACCGAGACGCCGCAAGGCAAGGCCCCCAUGCCGCCGACGCGACGGACGGACGGGACGGCACGGAGGCGAGCACGCCGCGCCGCGCCAAGCCCGCCCGGCGGGACGUCUCGGAGCGGACAGAAAGCCAGACGCGCAGUGCACCGUCGACCGGGAUAAACAUAAAAGGCAGCGGAUUUCGGUCGACGGCGACGCGCGGUGUCGCACACGCCUCGCCUUUCUCGAGUCGGAACAAAGCUCGGGCCGGGCGUGCGUGCAGAAUCGGCCGGGAAAGCGCGGCCGCGUAUCAGCCUUUCUCCGUCCUGCUCGUCCAUGGUUUUCCCCGAAUUCCACGGGAUAGCAGCCUCGUGCUAAAGCUGCCCCGUCCGACACACCCCUCUUUUCUCAGCGACCUUGUGUUUACACAAGUCACACCCGUGCACUCUCGCUGUUCAGCCCAGACCAGUCGCAUUACACACAAAAAGAUGUGAAGUUCAAAUGAAAUGCUAGCAAUUUACUUACUAGAAAUAUUUUACAUGCAUACUACUCGUACUAGCACCGCCAGAUUAUUGAAUCUAGACGGCGGCCGAAAAGACAAGCUUUUGCCACAUUAAGACAAGAGAAGAGAGCGCGCACGUUUCCUUAAUCCGGCAUCAUGAUACUAGUACCAACUAAGUAGUAUUAAAAAUGCUACUAGCAUCUAGGCUAAGAUUUGAUUGAGUACGGCGAUCGCCACUCCGGAGCCCGGACGGCCCGGCUCACGCGCCGUCGACGCCGUCCUUGGUGUCGGCCGCGCCGUCGGCCUUCGGCUCCGUCAUGGACCUCAGCAGCGGCGACUCGGACCCUGCGGGUUGCAAGAAAGCACCGAGAUGUUAUCACCUAUCGACCUGAAUGUCGCAGGACGAGGGGACGGAAAUGAG
rnacentral:lncRNA from 1 species